GCAUAUCUGAAGUUGGAUUGCACUGCCUUUCACCACAACUUCUUUGUGUUCAAUUUUUUAAACUGCUACCUUGUAAAUGGAUAUUAAACUUUGGUAGUAAUUCCUUGCAAUUUUAUUUUCUGCCCAGCUACAAGACUGGUUGGAUCUAUCACUUAAUCCUGCUGUUGUGCCAUCUUCUCUUCUCAUACUUUCAAGAGCUUUUACCCUGGCUGGGAGAACGAAACCCGUGGAUGCUGUUGUAGCAACAGCGUCUUCUUUGCCAGAUGAAGUUAUGGAUACAAUUGGGACAGUAUUGCCAUCUGAAGAUUCAGUUUCUGAGAGGAGGAGAAAACCGAAAUUCCUUGAGAUGCAGGAAGAACUUAUCAAGGAGGAGAGAAGAAGAAAGAGAAAGAAGAGAAGGCGAAACAAAAGAAGGAAGAAAAGGCAAUUCUCACAGAACAGGAGGCCGCUGAAGAAGAUUUGGCUUUAAAGGAAAUGAUUGGGCCUACUGCUAGGGAAGAAGAAGAAAUGAUAGAAGCAAAACAACAUGACCAACAGCAGCUCUGUAAUGUCAGUCGGGCAUUGGCUGUGCUGGCAUCUGCAUCGUCUGUUAGCAAGGAGCGUCAAGAGUUCCCGAGCCUUGUCAACAAGGAGAUAAAACUACACAACUGCAUGCUUGAAAGAGAAGACACAGAGGGGGCAGAAGAAACUAAGAAGGCAUAUAUGGCUGCUAGAGGAGUCAGACGACACCACCGAGGUUGCUUCAGAGGAAAAAGUCUCGUCAGCGCUGAUUGACAAGGCUAUGGUAACAUCUUAAGUAGUUUCCCAACAUUUGCAGAAAUAAGCAUUGUUUGAUUGCUUGCUGUUGGCAAGUUAUGUGAUACAAGCCUUUUAGGUUGAUGCUAUGCUUCUGGAAUUAGAAAAGGAGAUUGAUGAUGUGGAUGCACAAAUUGGAAACGGCUGGCAACUGCUUUGAUAGGAGAACAUACCCCUGGAGGAGCCAUUUGAGAACCUGAGAUGCAGCCACCGAACAGAUGCACCAGCACCUCUAAUCUUGGGCCCAAGCAAGCUCAAAGAGAUGGUGGAGAGCAACCAAACUAGCUAGGGUGGCCUGAUGAGGUCCUGUAUGAGGCUUUGCUUGUGAUUCAUAUCAUAUUAGGUCUUGUAUGAUGAUGCGUGUGUGGUUGAUGCUCACGUACUAGCUAAGGCAUUCAUUGCUUGCUUAGUGUUCCCGUUGUUGGUGGAAUUAACUGGAUGCACAAAAUAUUUCAACAACAUAUGCCAAAAGGUGCUGCUGCUGCUACCUUGCUGUUAUGCAAUUGUCAGCGUACUCCGAUGAGAAGAUGCCUCCUGAAGGAUUGCUUGAGUUGUGGUUACACUUGUUGAAUUUAUGUCCUCUUGUUGAACACAGUCUACUACACUGACGAAGUGACGAUGGUGAAUCAGUUGCUGAAGCUGAGGAAGAUGGAUCAUUUCGAGAUAUGCAUCUACACGCCGCCAAGGAGCUGGAGCUGUAGCUGAAUAUGCAUCUGCACGCCAAGCAGCCGGUGAACGAACAAGCAGCUCCUCCAAACUUACGGUGGACACUGCUGUGGAGAGACAAUGAUGAGCAUUUCAAUCAUCAACUUGAUCAAGGGGACAAGAUUUACAAUUUCCUCGAGAAGUCACCAUUGGUUGACAGAAUGGAGUUAGUCACGUUUGGUGUCUCUGAAGCUCUAGUUGCUGCUGAACCUGCGAGAGUCCUACCUAUGCUGAACGGUGUAGUUGACAUGAUGAACAUGAUGAUGCCCAUAAGGCAAAGGUACUUGUAAAUACCCAUUCUUUUUUAUUGCUGCAAUGUUUAGAAUACUGGAAAUUUCU